AUUAUAACACACUAGAGGUUUAUUUGUAUUUUUAUGCCUGAUUUUUUAUGCAAUUGCAUUUUUUACUAUUUUAUUAGCUUAAAAAAGCUACACUGGUGUUUAGCAUUUUUUAAUUUAUUUUAAAACAUUUAUCGUUUAUCAUACAGAAGUCUGUUAUGAGUAUUUACUAUGUCUAGGUAUAUAUCUUAAAUAAAAUAUUCAUUAGAUUUAUGAAACACUAGUCUACUUUUCUAUAUAUAUAUAUUGGGAGAAUAUCUCCAAUCACACCACUAAAGACAGAACUGCAUUGAUUUGCGCCACCUUAUAUCGAUACUAAUCUAGAAAACUUAAUCACUCUGUGUAUCUCAAUAGACAGACGCCUAAGAGAAAGAAAAUCAGAAAAAGGCUGCACAGAGUACUCAGCUAAGAGGGUUUCAACACCCACUCCUUUACCCAGGACUACGGAGGAACCCAUGGACAUCGCGUUCGUGAAGGGACCGCUGAAACCUGAGGAGAAAGCACGACGCAAGUUACACAACCUUUGUAUGUACUGUGCCAGUACAGAUCAUACAGUUAGGGACUGCCCCACUCUCCUAAGACAAAGGAAGGUGGGAUCAUCAUCAAGCACCUACAGUGGCUGUGAUUGAUUCAGGAGAAACAGGAGACUUCAUGGAUUAUGAUUUUGUUUGUUCCCUUAACAUACCACUAAUAAAAAAAGUUAAUUCACUACCUA